rnacentral:rRNA from 1 species
AGAACGUCGUGAGACAGUUCGGUCCCUAUCUGCCGUGGGCGCUGGAGAACUGAGGGGGGCUGCUCCUAGUACGAGAGGACCGGAGUGGACGCAUCACUGGUGUUCGGGUUGUCAUGCCAAUGGCACUGCCCGGUAGCUAAAUGCGGAAGAGAUAAGUGCUGAAAGCAUCUAAGCACGAAACUUGCCCCGAGAUGAGUUCUCCCUGACCCUUUAAGGUCCUGAAGGAACGUUGAAGACGACGACGUUGAUAGGCCGGGUGUGUAAGCGCAGCGAUGCGUUGAGCUAACCGGUACUAAUGAACCGUGAGGCUUAACCUU